ACGGGACCGACUCUUCCCCCCGGAGUCGGACCGUCGGACGGCCCCCGCCUUUCCCCCCUGGCGGGGGCCGUCCCCU
rfam:Thermobifida fusca YX, complete genome.